AAGUAGUGGAAACCAAUAAGCGAAUCAAUAUCAACUUGCCUCCGCGAAGCAAUACCUAACGGUCGGAGCUGAAGAAGGGAGUGAUCGAGGAAGUUUGUGAAGGGGGCUAGUUUUAGUACGUAGGCGCCAUGUAUGACAGAUCAUGCAUGCUGCUCCUAAAGGCCAGUAGUAUCUUUGGAAGAUUUCUACGUCCAGCUC
rfam:Glossina austeni unplaced genomic scaffold Scaffold198, whole genome shotgun sequence.